rnacentral:rRNA from 1 species
GAUGAACGCUGGCGGCGUGCUUAACACAUGCAAGUCGAACGGUGAACGAGGGAGCUUGCUCCCUCCGGAUCAGUGGCGAACGGGUGAGUAACACGUGAGCAAUCUGCCCUGGACUCUGGGAUAAGCGUUGGAAACGACGUCUAAUACCGGAUACGAGGCGUGGGGGCAUCCCCAACGCCUGGAAAGAACUUCGGUCCAGGAUGAGCUCGCGGCCUAUCAGCUAGUUGGUGAGGUAACGGCUCACCAAGGCGACGAUCCGUAGCUGGUCUGAGAGGACGAUCAGCCACACUGGGACUGAGACACGGCCCAGACUCCUACGGGAGGCAGCAGUGGGGAAUCUUGCCCAAUGGGCGAAAGCCUGAGGCAGCGACGCCGCGUGCGGGAAGAAGGCCUUCGGGUUGUAAACCGCUUUCAGGAGGGACGAAGCCACUCGGGUGAAUAGCCCAGAGGGUGACGGUACCUCCAGAAGAAGCCCCGGCUAAC